rnacentral:tRNA from 1 species
CUUAGCUCAGUUGGAUAGAGCGCGGGAUUCCUAAUCCCGAGGCCGCAGGUUCGAUUCCUGCAGGG